CGGCUGGUGACCCAUGACCAGGGAGGAGGCCUCACGGAGAGGAGAUCACUGGAAAGUGACCUCAUCAGAGCAGCAAGUGACCUGCACUGGGUGAGACCCAGAGCUGGAGCAAGACAUCAGGCCGUGCGAGGCCCUUCCGGGAAGAAAGCAGACAUGUGUGCCCACCCUGAGCAAGCACUGCUGUCCCACAGCUCAAUUCCACUUAAUGAACAUCUUAAAGCUACAGGAUAUGCUUGGCAAAGAGGAUGAACACAGCAGCCUUGUCCCAGAGGGCUCACAAGUGGCUUAGAGGAAGAGACCGACCUCAAUCCUGCCAACCAUCAGGUGCCCACUGGGCACCAACAACUCCCCCAUCAGCACUGGGAACUUGACACAGCCUCAUGCACACUUAUAACAGCUGGGAAGGGGCACAGAGGCCCUGAGAGGUGA